rnacentral:rRNA from 1 species
UACGAAGGGGGCUAGCGUUGCUCGGAAUCACUGGGCGUAAAGGGUGCGUAGGCGGGUCUUUAAGUCAGGGGUGAAAUCCUGGAGCUCAACUCCAGAACUGCCUUUGAUACUGAAGAUCUUGAGUUCGGGAGAGGUGAGUGGAACUGCGAGUGUAGAGGUGAAAUCCGUAGAUAUUCGCAAGAACACCAGUGGCGAAGGCGGCUCACUGGCCCGAUACUGACGCUGAGGCCCGAAAGCGUGGGGAGCAAACAGG